GCGCUCGUGGCGAAAUGGCAGACGCGCAAGCUUGAGGUGCUUGUGGGGUAACCCAUGGAGGUUCGAGUCCUCUCGAGCGCA
rnacentral:tRNA from 1 species